AGCAGCCGCGGUAAUUCCAGCUCCAAUAGCGUAUAUUAAAGUUGUUGCAGUUAAAAAGCUCGUAGUUGAAUUUCGGGAUCAAUGUUUCGGUCAUGCCGUUGGUAUGUACUGAUAUUAUUGAUUUCUCACCUUCUAAAGAACCGUAAUGCCAUUAAUUUGGUGUCACGGGGAAUUAGGACUGUUACCUUGAAAAAUUAGAGUGUUUAAAGCAGGCUCACGCUUGAAUACAUUAGCAUGGAAUAAUGAAAUAGGACAUCCGAUUCUAUUUUGUUGGUUUCUAGGAUCGAUGUAAUGAUUAAUAGGGAUAGUUGGGGGCAUUAGUAUUCAAUUGUCAGAGGUGAAAUUCUUGGAUUUAUUGAAGACUAACUACUGCGAAAGCAUUUGCCAAGGAUGUUUUCAUUAAUCAAGAACGAAAGUUAGGGGAUCGAAGACGAUCAGAUACCGUCGUAG
rnacentral:rRNA from 1 species